GCACAGGUGCAGGUGUGUGUGAGGGGUCUGUGCACAGGUGCAGGUGUGUGUGAGGGGUCUGUGCACAGGUGCAGGUGUGUGUGUGGGGGUCUGUGCACAGGUGCAGGUUUCUGUAGGGGUCUGUGCACAGGUGCAGGUUUCUGUAGGGGUCUGUGCACAGGUGCAGGUGUGUGUGAGGGGUCUGUGCACAGGUGCAGGUGUCUCCUGGCUAAUUUUUAUCUAAACCUGGAUUUAACCCAAGACUCUCCAUUAUUAUUGCUUUUGCCUUCCUCAUUUGGAUUCCUAGGGUAACCUUUGUUAGAACAAUAAGUUGUUUGAGCUUUGGUCGGCUCUUCUCCCGUUUAUAUGUGUGUGUUAAUGCACACACCGUGAUCAGAGCACAGCCUGUUGGAGAGUAGUUUUCUCCUUCCAUGUGAGAUUGAACUGAUGUCAUCAGGCUUAGUGGCAAUCACCUUCACCCAAGCCAUCUUCCAGGCCCCACGGUUUUUGUUUUUGGACCGUGUCUCAUGUGGCCCAGGCUGUGACUGAAUCCCUCAUUCUCCUGGCUUCCCAGUUCUGGAAUGACAGAUGUGUGCCUCCCUACACCACAUUCUGAAUUUCUGUUCUUUUAGGCAGGGUCUUGCUUUGAAGCCUAAGCUGGCCUCUUGCUUGUGGUCCCCCUGCCUCAGCCUCUUGUGUGCGGGAAUGUCCAUGCUGCCAAACAUGGCUGCUGCCUCAGAGUCUUUUGUUUUUGCAGCAGUGGGAAUGGAGUCUGGGCCUUGGACAUGCCGGGAAACAGGUCUACCACUGAGCUCAGUCCUCGGCCCUCUUUAAAGUUGCCCGGGUAGGCCUUGAACUUAAGAUCCUUAGCCUCUGGGGUGUCCUGACCCGAUAGUGUCCUUUAAAAAGUUCUAACUCUACUAUGAAAGUUUUGAUUAAGGUUAACAAGUUCUGAGCAUAAAA